rnacentral:rRNA from 1 species
UAGGGAAUAUUGCACAAUGGGGGCAACCCUGAUGCAGCGACGCCGCGUGAGCGAUGAAGCCCUUCGGGGCGUAAAGCUCUUUCGACCGGAACGAUAAUGACGGUACCGGGAGAAGAAGCUGCGGCUAACUACGUGCCAGCAGCCGCGGUAAUACGUAGGCAGCAAGCGUUGUUCGGAGUUACUGGGCGUAAAGAGUGCGUAGGCGGUUUUCUAAGUUCGGUGUGAAAUCUCCCGGCUUAACUGGGAGGGUGCGCCGAAGACUGGGAAGCUGGAGUGUGGGAAAGGCAGGCGGAAUUCCUGGUGUAGCGGUGAAAUGCGUAGAUAUCAGGAGGAACACCGGCGGUGUAGACGGCUUGCUAGACCAUAACUGACGCUGAGGCACGAAAGCGUGGGUAGCAAACA